GACAGAGGGGGCAAGCGUUGCUCGGAAUUACUGGGCGUAAAGGGCGCGUAGGCGGGAUGGCAAGUCGGUCGUGAAAUCCCUCGGCUCAACCGAGGAACGUCGAUCGAUACUGCUGUUCUUGAGGAUUGCAGAGGAGACUGGGAUUCCCGGUGUAGCGGUGAAAUGUGUAGAGAUCGGGAGGAACACCGGUGGCGAAGGCGGGUCUCUGGGCAAUUCCUGACGCUGAGGCGCGAAAGCGUGGGGAGCAAACGGG
rnacentral:rRNA from 1 species